UGGGGAAUCUUGGACAAUGGGCGCAAGCCUGAUCCAGCCAUGCCGCGUGAGUGAAGAAGGCCUUCGGGUUGUAAAGCUCUUUUGUCAGGGACGAUAAUGACGGUACCAGAGGAAUAAGCACCGGCUAACUCCGUGCCAGCAGCCGCGGGAAUACGGAGGGUGCAAGCGUUAUCCGGAUUCACUGGGUUUAAAGGGUGCGUAGGCGGGCAGGUAAGUCAGAGGUGAAAUCCCCGAGCUGAACUCGGGAAC
rnacentral:rRNA from 1 species